GAGUUUGAUCCUGGCUCAGAUUGAACGCUGGCGGCAUGCCUUACACAUGCAAGUCGAACGGCAGCACGGGAGCUUGCUCCUGGUGGCGAGUGGCGAACGGGUGAGUAAUGCAUCGGAACGUAUCCUGGAGUGGGGGAUAACGUAGCGAAAGUUACGCUAAUACCGCAUAUUCUGUGAGCAGGAAAGCGGGGGACCUUCGGGCCUCGCGCUCUUGGAGCGGCCGAUGUCGGAUUAGCUAGUUGGUGAGGUAAAGGCUCACCAAGGCGACGAUCCGUAGCAGGUCUGAGAGGAUGAUCUGCCACACUGGAACUGAGACACGGUCCAGACUCCUACGGGAGGCAGCAGUGGGGAAUUUUGGACAAUGGGGGCGACCCUGAUCCAGCCAUGCCGCGUGAGUGAAGAAGGCC
rnacentral:rRNA from 1 species